rnacentral:lncRNA from 1 species
GAUUUCCUCCCUGAUCACUCAGCAGUACCCAUUCCCUAGCUCCCUGCCCACCAAAUUGUCCAUUAAAAACCCUAAUCUCUGAGCCUUCAAGGAAACUGACUUGAGGAGUAACACCAUCUUCUGUGUGCCUGGCCUUGUGUCAAAUUUUUCUCUACUGCAAUGCUGAGGUCUCAGUAAAUCGAUUUUUGUCUGUGCAGUGGGCUGGAAGGAGUCAACAGGGACAAGGUGUCACCAUGUUGCCCAGGCUGGUCUUGAACUCCUGGGAUCAAGGAAUCCUCCUGCCUCAGCCUCCCAAAGUGCUAGAAUUAGAGACGUGAGGCACCACACCACCUACCUUUAUAUUUAAGCAACAGUUUGACUGCAUACAAAAUUCCUGGGUCACAUCUCUUUGCUGGAGGAUUUUAUUGUGAUUGCCUUCUUGUGUGUUUGGUAAUCCAGUUUGUGAGUUGAUGGCUUCAUCAUAAUCUGUGGGAGUCCUCUGUACCAAACUUGGAAAGUUCUCCUCCAGACAAGACUUUGCCUUCAGGUGAAUCAACUGACACCAGCUUGAACAGUGACCGUGACUGCAACAAAGGAACUGACUCAACCGGUCCUCUGACCACUCCCCUGCAGGAAAUGACUCAGCACAUGAAGACAGUUUCAACACUCCUAUGAUUUCAUCCCCCAACCAAUCCACAACAUCUGUUUCCUAAUGCCCUACCUGCCAAAUCAUCCUUAAAAACCUUAGCCUCUGAAUUCUUGGUGAGGUGGAUCUGGGAAAUGUAUCCCGUCCUCCUCACUCUAUUGCCUUGCAAUAAUCAAACUCUUUCUCUGCUGCAACUCCUGCUGGCUCAGUGUUUUGGUUUUAUCUGUGCAGUGGGCAAGAACCAGUCAGGUGGUAACAGUUCUGAUUGUUACUUUUGGGUGAUUUCCCCUACAAAGAGGAAAAAUACUAAUUUUGAACCACCAUAUUCAAUUCUUAAGGCUUCCUAUAUUCUUAGUGAUAAUGUCAUUUUUGAAGAUAACAUAUUUCAAAGUACAGUAGCUUUGAAGUAUAUUUGUAUUUUGAAGAUACAUGUACUUGAAAAAUUGAGUUUGGCAAUGUGUUUCCACUAACAUUAAUUUAACAGGUAAGGCCGGGCGCAGUGGUUCACGCCUGUAAUCCCAGCACUUUGGGAGGCCAAGGUGGGCAGAUCACGAGGUCUAGGAGUUCGAGACCAGCCUGGCCAAUAUGGUGACACCCUGUCUCUACUAAAAAUACAAAAAUUAGCUGGGCGUGGUGGCUCGCACCUGUAGUCCCAGCUACUCGGGAGGCUGAGGCAGAAGAAUCGCUUGAGCCUGGGAGGCGGAGGUUGCAGUGAGCCGAGAUGGUGCCACUGCACGCCAGCCUGGGUGACAGAGCGAGACUCCGUCUCAAAAAAAAAAAAAAUUUACCAGGUAAAAGUCAUCUUGGUUUAAAAUAUUUUCACAACACUUUAAUUUUUCAUGUGGUUACCAGUGUGGCCUUAUAUCGCCAAUGUUUAAAAAAAUGUUAUGGACUCCUGCCUCAGCCUCCCAAGUGGCUGGGACUACAGGCGCCGGCCACCAUGCCUGGCUAAUUUUUUGUAUUUUAAGUAGAGACGGGGUUUCAGUGUGUUAGCCAGGAUGGUCUCUAUCUCCUGACCUCGUGAUCUGCCCACCUCAGCCUCCCAAAGUGCUGGGAUUACAGGGGUGAGCCACCGUGCCUGGCCAGAGGAUAGUAGAAAAUGAGAAGAUUAAUGCAGAAAAGUCAUCAAAGCAGAAGGUAGAUCUCCAGUCUUUGCCAACUCGUGCCUACCUGGAUCAGACAGUUGUGCCUAUCUUAUUACAGGGACUUGCUGUGCUUGCAAAGGAAAGAUGAGGAAACAGACUUGGAGAGGUUAAGUGACAUGCUCAAGACAACACUGCUGGGUCUUGCUACGUACGUUGACCAGGUUGGAAUGCAGUGGCGUGAUCAUGGCUCACUGUAGCCUCGACCUCAUGGGCUCAAGUGAUCCUCCCGCCUCUGCCUACCAAGUAGCUAGGACCACAGGCGAAGCCACCAUGCCCGGAUAAUUAAAAAAUAAAAAAUUUAUAGAAAAAAAUGUUAUCGAGGACUUUGAAAGUAUUUCACUAAACCAAAACAUAGUGAUGAAAAUAGUAAUGUGAAUAUUAAAGUAGAGAAUGUCACAAAUAUAAAAAAUUAACAAGAGCCCCAUUUUCACUGAGGAAAUAGGUGAAUAUGAUAAUUUUAUAGAAACAAGUAAAGAAAAAUGUGAAUAGAAGUAUGAAAGUGGAUAUCUGAAAAUGAGCAAUCCAGCUACUCUUUUUUUUACACCAUGUUUAUCUUUUAAGUAAGUCUGUCAAGUUUUGACAUGAAGUUAAUGAUGCUUUCAUUUUGAUUUUUUUUUUCUUUUCUUUUUUUUGAGAUGGAGUCUCGCUCUAUUGCCCAGGCUGGAGUGCAGUGGCGCGAUCUUGGCUCACUGCAACCUCCACCUCCCAGGUUCACGCCAUUCUCCUGCCUCAGAGUAGCUGGGAUUACAGGCGCCCGCUGCCAGGCCCGGCUAAUUUUUUGUAUUUUUAGUAGAGACAGGGUUUCACCAUGUUAGCCAGGAUGGUCUCGAUCUCCUGACCUUGUGAUCCACCCACCUCGUUCUCUCAAAGUGCUGGGAUUACAGGCGUGAGCCACCGCGCCCGACCUUCAUUUUGAUUUCUAACAAAACACUGAGCACUGGUAAACCAAUUAAAUUUUUCAUUUCUAAAACAAAACAGCAUAGUAAAAAAUUAAAUAAUUCUUUUGCUAAAGUCAGAAAGAGGCCAAAACUAGAUAUCCAUUCAGAUUUGCACUUCUUAUAUCCUAAAACAGACAGUUCUUACUGCUGUCAAAAGGUUUGUAAAAACCUAAUGUGAAAUUAUUCAAAAUAUGCUCAGAGAGAAAGCAAAACACACUGCUACUGGAAAAUUACAUUGUCAAGUGACUCAUCUGACAUUGUGUAACAUUAGUAGCAUUCAUUAUGAAAGAGGAAUUACGGUCUUGUGUGCAUGCUAGCAAAUAUCCUGUUCAGAAUUGGAUAAAGCCACCGACACUUGCCAUCUGCCACAAAACAUCCCCUAUCAAGCUUGCCAACCAUCUUUAUCUUGCCAAAUCUAAUGAUUUGUUCUCUAUCCAAAUCACAGUUAAUUUCUCAGUAGUAGCUGACCAUUAUUUUCUUUUUGAAACACUUUCUUCUUGAAGUUUUCCUGAAGCCACACUGUUUCCCCUCUUUAUCACUGGCUGCUUCUUCUCAAUCUCCUUGCUAGUACCUGCCUCUUUUUUCUCCUCAUCUUCUAAAUAUUAGGACUCUCUAGAGCUGGGUCCUUGAUGCUCUUCUGUUUUUUGUGUACAUUCUUUCCCUAUUUAAUCUCAGUCAGUCCCAUAGCUUUAUGACAAGCAUGUUACGGAUUCCCAAAUGAAUACCUAGAGCCCUGUUUUCUUCCCUGAACUCUGAAUUCAUAUAUCAUUUGCUGCUUUAUUAUUAUUAUUAUUAUAGAUGAGGUCUCACUACGUUGUCCAGGUUGGAGUGCAGUGGCUAUUCACAGGUGUGAUUGUAGCACACUGCAGCCUUGAACUCCUGGACUUGAGUGAUCCUCCUGCCUCAGCCUCCUAAGAAUAGCUGUGACUACAGGUGCAUGCCACCCAUAGCUGGCUAAUUUUUAAAUUUUUGUGGAGAUGGGGGUCUCACUAUUUUGCCCAGGCUGGUCUCAAACUCCUGAGCUCAAGCAAUCCUCCUACCUCAGCCUUAGUAACUGGGACUACAUCCAUGUUCCACCACACCAGGCUCCAAUUACAUUUUGACUUCUCCACUUGGAUGUUUAAAAUGCUUCUCAAAUUUAACAUAUCCUAAAGAUAAUUUUGUGUCUCCCCACAAAACUUGCUCUUUUUGCAUUCAUUGCUGUCUUAGUUAAUGGCACCACCAUCCAUACUGUUACUUUAGCCAGAAACCUUUGAAACAUCCCAAUUGGUCUUUCUGAUUUUCUCUGUUUCACAACUUAUUCUCCACAGACAGGAUACUCCAAACAGUACCCAAAGCCAUUGUCUCUUAUACUUUUCAAUCUAUAAAAUAUACAUACAUAAGAGUAUAUAAAAUAUAUUAUAAAGUAAAUAUCCAUGUAUCCAAACACACAGGUUUAGAACUGGAACACAAUAUGCAAAAGAAUAAUAUUGGACCCCCUACCUCAUGUCAUAUACAAAAAUUAACUCAAAAUAUACCAAAGAUCUAAAUGUAAGAGCUGAAAUUAUAAAACUCUUCAAAGAAAUCAUAGGUGUAAAUCUUUGUGUCCAUGAAUUUAGCAAGAAUUUCUUAAAUAUGACCUCCAAAGCACAAGCAAUCAAAGAAAAAAAAUAGAUAGGUUGGACUUCAACAAAAUUAAAAAUUUUCAUGCUUCAUAGAAACGGAACACUUUCAGGACAUCAUAAGACCUCUUCUUGCUCACAUUUCCUCCCUUUCUGCAAAGAUAAAUGCAGUUCUUUGUGUGCAUGUAUUUGUGUGUGUGUGUGUGUGUGUAUGUGUGUGUGUGCGUGAUGAUCAUUCUCUUGCUUUAGUUUUAUCUCACACUUAUAUCCAUAAGCAAUAUCACCAAUAUUACAACCUAAACAAUAUAGUUUAGGUUUUACCCAUCUUCAAGUUAUAUAAAUGGAAUCUCACUAUUUUUUUUUUCUGUGACUUGCUGCUUUUUGGCUCAAUAUAAUGUUUGUGAGCUUCAUCUGUCCUUAUGCAUAUAGCUGUAGCUCUGUAUAGAAUUUCAUAUAUUGUAAUUAAUAUCAUAAUUUAUUAUACUCUUUAAUGGACUUUUGGGUGUUUUCAGUUAUUAUUAGUGCUACAAUAAACACUUUGAUACAUGCUUUCUGGCACUUACAUGCAAGAGUUUCUCUAAGAUAUAUAACUAGGAGAAUGUAGAUAUCAGACUGUCUAAUAAACUUGAAGAUGCACAGCCUUUCUUUUCCAAAAUGGUUACAACCUGUUUAAUGCUCUACCAAAGGGUGAGUUUCCAUUGGUAUUGUCAAAGUUCCUUGAGAGUGUCAGAUUGUUUUUCCUACUUUUACCAUCCUAGUGGCUUGUACAGUUUUUUGGGGGGAGUUUUUUGGAGACGGAGUCUUGCUAUGUUCCCCAAGCUGCAGUGCAGUGGCUAUUCACAGGCAUAAUCAUACUGCACCAUAGCCUUGUUAGAUAUGAGUUCUAAAUUUCUUUUCAAAGAAUUAAUGUCAGUAUGUUCAAUUAUUUGCCUUCUACUUUUAAACUUAACUUCCUCGUAAAGCUACCUUUUUCGAUUACCUACUCCACUCUGACUCAUUCUGGUCACCUACUCCACCCUAACUCAUUCUGAUUACCUGCUACCUGCCCUGCCCUGACUCCUGCCAAAGCACACACCCUGUCAUUCUCUUUAAAUUAGCCAAUUGGAAUUAGUUUAGCCUGUGAGGUCUAACCCUAGCCAAUAGGGGAACCACACAGCAGCAGGGGCCACGUGUGUCAGGGAUAAGAACCCCUUCCCCUCCCUUAUCCAAGUGUGCGCUCACCAUUGCUCCAUCUGUAAGGGCACACCCUUCUAUUGAAGUACCUUGCCUUGCUGAGAAUUAAAAAGAAAAUUUUAUAUUCGAGUGCUAUUUCUUUUGCGGCACCGAACCUUU